CCAAUUAUAGCUAGGAUUCGUAAAAAUUGUUUGAAAUUUAUAAUUUUUCUGGGUUUAGCAAAUUCUAGGUUUUUUCACUUCUCUAUCUAAUCCAUUAAUGGUCGACCUAAGUGGUGUUGCAUGGUUGAAAGAUCAUGAUAUUGCUGAAACCAAUUCAAACCAGAGGCUCUUCUCCAAUUCAGGGUUAGUUUGCGUUCUUUUUAAUUUGCUAUUGAUUUCUGUUUCUUUUUCUUUUUGCAGGUGAUUAUACAUGGAUAGUCAAAACUUGCGGUUCAUCUCUAGAUUGUCGGGUUUUAUUUGUUAUCCUGCAUUAGGGUUGUUAUUUACUUACCUAAUCUUAUAAAGACGAAGAACUAAUUUUUAUAUUUCUCGGAUCGGGUUGAUAUCUUGAAGCUAAAGAGUUCAUGUGAUUGAGUUUUUGUCUCACUUUCCUGUGGUCACAGAGACUACCAAGUACCAAGUUUAUCACUGGAGAAGAUUGCUGCGAUUCAAACAUGACGGUAUUGCAGUCUUAUCCCAUGUAUCUAGCUUCCACGAAUCUCACUUAUGGGUUCUCUAAUACCUUGCUCCAUGAGUUGUGUCGUCCAUGUGAAAGAUAUAUCUCUGCAGAACAAAGUGCACAGAACCGACAUCAGAUGAACCAUCAUCAGUGUAUAAUUUUGCAUCAAGUUUUCUCUUUGUUGGUAUUUUUAUUAGUAUAUUAAACUUCUCAAUGUAUGUUUUCCGCAAUGCAGUACAUACUUUUUUUUACAGUAAAUUAAAAACAAAAGGAAAUUAAACUUCUCAAUUUACUAUUGAUUUUGUUAAUCGAAAGUUUAAUAAGUCGAUUUUCUAAUUUUCUUACUCCAGCAGUUCUGAUAGCAACAGGUACAACUGCCAAAUCUAGGAGCAUCAAGGUGGGUAGUUGUUUCGAAUAUUUACGGACAACAUUGUAUCAGGCUUAAGUUCGAAAACAGUGAAAUUGAAGUGGUUAAUAUGGGACAGCAGGUUGAUCCUAAUGAGAAAAGGAUGACUAUUUUGCAACCACAGAUUCUUUCAUGGAAGAUUUAAGGAGGUAAAAGUAAACGUACCUAAUUUAAGGAGGUAAAAGUGAUCGUACCUAAUGGACUACGCAUUUUUUGGAAUAUUGUGUGAAUUAAUUAUUGUUAUUGUCAUGUCUAAUAGCGUACUUUGUCAACUCUGCUAUUGUCAUUUUUUGGGUAUACAGGCAUGGUUGAUGCAUUCUCUAAAACAGUUCGGAAUGAGGGACUUGGAGUAUUAUAUUAAGUUUGGUACUUGACUAACAAGAAAAUUUGAUUUGAGAUGCAACUGCGCUGCUUAUUGAAAAUGUAAGCAGUUCGAUAUUAGUCAUCUCUGAUGGUCUUCCAGUAACAAUAACUGUAUCCUCCGGUUGCAUCCUCCACGUUAUCCUCCGGUUGCAUCCUCCACGUUAUCUCGAAGAUUUGGUCUCCAACUCAUUGCAUGUUUCUGGGAACUUGCCCUGCGGAUGGGGUAGACAUGCAGACUGUCAAAUUCCUAGAUAUGUCUGGAAACUUUCCUCACGGAUGGGAUAUAUAUGCUUAGUUCAGUUUGUCAGGGGUAAAUCAGAAGGACUGUUGGAGAAGUUAUUUUCCUAAGCCAUGUUAUUAACCGUUUGUGUUUUUAUCCCUAAUAUUACAGGAAAGGUGUUACAUUUAAGACAAUUUGCUAGAUUUAUAGACCUCAAAUUUUCUAUGUCAUGCGCUCUCAAAUAUUUGUAAAUUGCAUUGAAUUAGAAUGAUUUGCAUACUCAUUGUCCUCUAAUUCACCCAUUUGUAGUGGAUAAUGGCUCAGUUUUGGAAAUCGCAUCUAAAGCCACACAACAUCAGUUCAAUGCACGAGAGAGUGCUAGGAUCUUCACAUCCAUGUGCCUCUUUAACUGACCACUAUGAUCCAGGAUGCAAUAGAGAUGAUUGCUUGCAGUUCACCAAUCUUGAUCCCAGUUUAUUAGAGGUAAUUGAUUUCCCCUUUGUAUUGUGUUAGUUUGAAGCUCAAGUUCAUUGUAGAAUGUUUUGAGUUUUGAUGUAAUAGUGAUAGAUAAAUCGUAUAUGGAAGAAUGGAAAAAACAAUUUUGAUGAUAUUAUGAUAACAAUGACUUACUUUAAAAAAGAAUAGAUCGCUUAAACAAGAAAAUGUGUAUCUAUUAUUCGGAUUGCUAUAAGGGGGCUACAUUUUCAGAUUGGAUGGUCUAAAAUAAAUUGCUACACAUUUAAUUACCAGCUGGCUUCUAUUGUCGGCUUUGUGUCCUCGAUGAAAUAAAAAUCCAGCUGGUAGUAUAACGUGAGCAGAAAAUUCCAGAAGUCGCUGCGUUGUGAUAUUUGCAGCAAGCAAUAUAAGUUUGCAAUAGAAUUUAAAGUUCACGUGAGCUUAGAUGACCACAAUCACAGAAAGGUAAAUAACUUCCCUUAAUGUCUUUUUCAGUUUACUUUCCAUGCUAGAAUAUUAGUUUUUAUCACUAAAUUGUACUUUUCGAUUGUGCAUAUAUGCAUCUAUUUGGCUUAAACGGAUACUUCACUUUAUAUUUAUAGUAUGCUUGCACCAGUUCGAAGAAAUUAGAAAUAGCCCCGUCCAUCAGAGUUGAAGUACAGGUUUUGAGAACUAAAUAUCUGGACAUGAAUAGAAAUGACAGUAGAGAUUGUCUCAGAGGAGAAUAGGAAGAAAUGACUUGCUAUAUUGGUAAUUGAAAAUGUGGACUAUACUUCCAUUAAUUACAUUAUAUUGAACCAUGUCUUUACUAGCUAUUUGACUCGGUUGCUUUACUAAUGAAGUAGACAUCUACUGUCCGUGGACAACUUCAUGCUCACUGCAUGCCAAUUGCUCAAUUGAUUUAAGUUAUAUUAUUAACAAUAGUCAACAAAAAACUUGCUGAGAUUGCUUGAGAAGAUCCCAAACACGCAAGGAAAUGGUGUAUUCCCUUAGUCAUAGUCCUUCUACUUUAUGUUUUUAAUUUUUUGUAACUGAAAAUGUUCUUCUACAUGAUUCAAUGAAAGCUACGUUAUAAAUGUUUUCUUACAAGUGA